CGUUCCAUGGCCAAAUAGGUCAAGGCAUUGCCGAUUAGAGGCAAAAAUGCGGGUUCGAGUCCCAUUGGAAUUA
rnacentral:tRNA from 1 species